UGCUGCUUCUAAGCAAUGUUUUGGGUUUUUAUCCUCUUUUGGGAUAAAAUGGGUAUAAGUGUUGUCUAAACACUUUUACUCCAUCCCUAACUCUUAUGAUUAGUCCAAUGCAUUGGAUUAUGACAUAUUUUGAGCAUAGAAACAGUAAUAAAGCUAUUGACUGCUUCUAAGAAAUGUUUUGUUAGUUUUAGCCUCUUUUGGGACAAAAUGGGUAUAAGUGUUGUAUAAACACUCCUAAUUCAUCUCUAA
rnacentral:sRNA from 1 species